UGGGGAAUAUUGGACAAUGGGGGCAACCCUGAUCCAGCCAUGCCGCGUGAAUGAUGAAGGCCUUCGGGUUGUAAAGUUCUUUUGGCGGGGACGAUGAUGACUGUACCCGCAGAAUAAGCUCCGGCUAACUUCGUGCCAGCAGCCGCGGUAAUACGAAGGGAGCAAGCGUUGUUCGGAAUUACUGGGCGUAAAGGGCGCGUAGGCGGUUUAACAAGUCAGGCGUGAAAGCCCCGGGCUCAACCCGGGAAUAGCGUUUGAGACUGUUUUUCUAAGAGUUCGGAAGAGGUAAGUGGAAUUCCCAAUGUAGCAGUGAAAUGCGUAGAGAUGUGGAGGAACACCGAUGGCGAAGGCAGCCCCCUGGGUUAACACUGACGCUCAUGCACGAAAGCGUGGGGAGCAAACAGGAUUAGAUACCCCCGUAGUCCCUGAGCGGGCUGGCAAGGCGCAU
rnacentral:rRNA from 1 species